AACGAACGCUGGCGGCAGGCUUAAUACAUGCAAGUCGAACGGGCGCGAGCAAUCGCGUCAGUGGCAGACGGGUGAGUAACACGUGGGAACCUUCCUCGUUGUACGGAACAACUCAGGGAAACUUGAGCUAAUACCGUAUACGUCCGUAAGGAGAAAGAUUCAUCGCCCCUAGACGGCCCGCGUCGGAUUAGGUAGUUGGUGGGGUAACGGGCCUACCAAGCCUACGAUCCGUAGCUGAUCUGAGAGGAUGAUCAGCCACACUGGGACUGAGACACGGCCCAGACUCCUACGGGAGGCAGCAGUGGGGAAGUCUUGGACAAUGGGCGCAAGCCUGAUCCAGCCAUGCCGCGUGAGUGAAGAAGGCCUUAGGGUUGUAAAGCUCUUUUACCAGGGACGAUAAUGACGGUACCUGGAGAAUAAGCCCCCGGCAAACUUCGUGCCAGCAGCCGCUGUAAG
rnacentral:rRNA from 1 species